GGAACGGGCUUCCGUUUUUGCUUCGCAUUCAAUCUGUUGCGCACAUAUGUCUUGACAUAUUUAAGUUGGAGUUCCACAAUUUGGAAACAAGCAGAAGCAACAAAUAACUGGAUCCCCGUGUUAUCAAAUACGGAAGCUUUCAGUUUAACAAAUACAUUCUGGUAUUCCGAAAGCUUGUAUCAACUCAUUCAGUGGUGUCACACAAUAUACUGCAGCAGAAAUGUUGGUAACGUCUUACAGAGCCUUCAUAUAUGUAGCUGAAAGUUGGCGAAAAAUAGGCUAGGCAUAAAGGCACGGAGGUAUGGUCUGUAGAACAAUGUGCCUCAUGAACUGUAAAAAUCCCUGACCAGAAGGGGAUGAUGUAAAUGACUUGGACGUAGGACUAAGUAUUUUUGUGUAUAAGAAGGAUUAGAUAUAUAUUUAAUUUAUUUUCAUAAAUUUUGUAAAUGCCGGGAUUGUAAAAAAUGUUUCUGUGGUAAUGAUAAGUUGUAAGCUCUACAAUAGGCCUAAGAUGACAGUUGUAGUGGGUCAACAGUACCUACUGAUACUGGGUGCCUGCUUUGUCCCAUGACUACUCCGUUAUUCAUUUUUAAAUAUGUUUGUGCCCUAACUCUCAGUGUUGCCAGGAUUUUGAACUACAAAAAAGUGGAAAACUACAGAUUUUACAAAAUUAAUAACUGCAUUUAUGAGACUUACAUGCAAUCACAUUUAUAUAGUUCCAUAGAAAGGCAUAACAAACCCAAUACAUUUUAGCAGAAUUAUAGCUCAGUAGUACUGGUAUCACGAAACAGAAAUAAAAUAUUCUGAUGGAAAACAACCAACAACACUCUGUGUGAAGUUCUUGAACAGUAGUGUAUGCUGAUCAUUAUGCUAAUGUACAGUUCACAUAAGCAUCAGAUUCACCAAUGUUGUCUAUAAAAAUAUGUAGGAUAUACUUCAGUGUUCCAUUUCAUUCACACUGAAUGGAAUAUUAAUCGAAAGAGCAGGAUGGCCUUUUUUGGGUUAAACUCUUUUAAUUUGUGGUGACUAUGCAGUUUCAAGAUGAGUAAUGGUGCCCUGGUGUUCAUGAUUCAGAAUUAUUCCCAUAGAUAGUUUUGCAAAAAGAGAGAUGUCAAAUAUACAUACUCUGUAUUAUAAGGAAAAGUCUCUCCUUCUCAUCCCGCAGUUCUGAGUGGCUUUUCUGAUCUGUAACUCAAACCUCUCCAGUCUGUUCCCUUUAUCCCUCUUCCCUCCCGUUCAACUCUUCUGGCAGAAGAAUGCAUCACUGGCUCCGAAAGCUUGUAAACGUUAAAUACUUUAGUGUGCGUGUUUUCCUGCCGCUGCUUGUUGGGUAGAUAUUUUAUGUAUCCAUUUACAUUAUACUAUGUUGACAGAUGUCUGGGUUGAAUUACAUGAUAGGCCCGUACCCAUUAAGUACAAUGAUUUUUACCUUCAUAAUCUGGUUUAUGCAGUAUGCCAAUUAAUUAAACAGAUGUUGAGAAUGGACACAUGCCAUCACACUUUUACAUCACAAUUACAUUAGACUUGCAAAGUUCUGUUUUUCAGUACCGCUCGCUACAUGCAAGCAUAGUUUCCUAUGAUUUCCAUAAGUCACGUCCUGUGAAUGGCAGAAUAGGUCCUUCAGCUGUGUUAAAGUCUGUUAAUUCUCAUUUUCUCAUCCACUAGUGCUGAUAAAGGAUACGCUAGUGAUCUUACUAUUAAUGUGAUGUUAACCCAUUAACUGCCGUGAUCCUCAUUUGGGGCUCUGUCCUUGUAUUUCAGAUAAUGCUGGCAGCAGUUCUUAGUAUUUUGCAUUGUUGUCUUGGCAUUUAUCAAGCUUGUGUAUUGCUUGUGAGUUGGUUGCUGUUAAAUGUGUAAGCUGUACAGGAUUAUUUGUGUGAAGAAGCCCAGAGAAUUACUAUAAAGCAAUUUCUAUAAGGUAAGUUGGAGGAAUUGUAAAUGACACAAAUUUCAUGGCUUCUUCGUGUGAUAAGGAUGAAGGGAAUGAGACCAUUGACAUUGGCUAGCUCCCUUCAGAUUGUAAAGACAAGCUAUCUGGAUGUGGUGAUGAAAUAUAUUGGAAGAUACUCUUCCAGCUGAUGUACCAGGUGGCUGAUGUAUCAGGUGGCUUAUGUACCAGGUGCCUUGGAAGUUCAUACUAAUGAAGAAAGAGAGAAUGAGGAAAAUGCAGGCCAUUACAAGAAGAAAAUGAGAGCUAAUAUCACUCUAUUUGGACAACAGAAGAUGCAACUUGCAAUAAAACCUACCCUGAUCUAGCAGAAAUCAGAAAUUGAACGAAGAUAAUGUAGUUUGGUAGCAGUAGUAAAAGAAAAGUCUGCAGUUAAGUGCUUUGAAGAACUGAUGAACAAGUUCUGGACUUGGUUGCCUGUGAACAUGUCUGGUAUGCUACAUAGAAGAAUAAUCACUGCUUUGAUUUAUCCAGUAAAUGCAUAAAAACGUUUUUAGGGAUAUUACACUUCACUGAAUACCGUACUUUCCCACAGGAACUGUUAUAUUGGAAUGAAGACAAGGGUUUGACACAAAGUGCAUAUGACAAUGUCUAAGCUGCAACAGAUAUCUGGAGAUCAAGCACAACCUUCACUUAAAUGGUAACACAAGUUCUGACUGGGAUCUCAGCUGAUGGAAGUGAUAAACUUUUAGAAAUUCAUCCCAUGAUGUACUUUCUAAAUAAGAAUUUGAUGGAAUUUCAAGUUUUUUUCUGAUAGCCUGAGCAUUUAUCAGCAAGUGGUUUGAUAUUAUGGACAUCAUUAUCAAGUACAAUUCAUUCCUGGGAAGCCAGUGAGACUCAGUUUCAAACUGUGGGGCAUGUGCUGUUGAUUGUUUGUUUGAUUGGUGGGGGGAAACAAAGAGCAAGGUCCUUGGUCCCAUAGGAUUAGUGAAGGAUGGAGAACGAAGCUGUCUGUGCCCUUUCUAAAGAACCAUCCCGUCAUUUACCUAAAGCGACUUAGAAAUAUCACAGAAAACUUAAAUCAGGAUGACCGGAUGCUGGUCUUAAACAUCAUCCUCCCCACUGCAAAUCCAGUGUGCUAACCACUGCACCACCUCGCUCUGUGCUAUAUGGUGUUCCCGAAGCAGUUACUGUUAUCGUAUGUCAAGUCUGUGUAGUAAUAUUAAAGGACUAUUUUAUUUUUA